UGUCUAAUACAUAAUCUUGUGCCCUAAACACCUCCGCCGACGCCCUUCAUCGCCCCAUCACCGUCGCCGCCUCCCGAUCUAGCCGGCGCAGAUCCACCGCCCACCGCUGCAUGAGACCAGCCGACGAUGCAGUAGCUACUACCGUCGAGGGAGGUGGUGUCGUGGGGCCACCGCGAGAGCCGCAGAGCCGAUCCCCUUCUCCUCUCCCGAUUCUUCCUCUUCCCCAAUUUUGCCAACACCUUCUCCUCUCUUCUCUUCUUCUCCGCCGAUCGUCCUCUCUCACGUCACUGUCGACUGCCAUGGUCCGACGCUGACCAUCACGAGCCCAACAACUGGUGUAACCCUUUGCCAACCCCCUUUCCCGAUCUCACUGUCGUCGUUCCUCUUCCUCCCAAUCGGCGUGACACCCACUCCUUCGGCCGACUGCCAUUUAGUCUUUUCCCUCCGACCAACUGUCAAUGAUCCUUCUUCCACCUUCGAAUCUAGUGUGUCGUUCCUCUUAUUUGCGGUCCCUGAGCAGCAACGACUACUACCAUAGCAAGGUCGUCACCCGAUUUCUCCACCCUACUCAUCUUCAAUCAUCGUCGUGAGCUGUGGUGGGCAUUCCCGGUUGAAUGGAGAUCAGCAGUUUAACCUAGCUUCGACUAUUGAGUUGCGACAGCAAAUGCCUCCGGUCGUGAGUCAACAGUUGUGUAAUCAGAUUUAGGACAUUGCUUCGAGACGAGCAUCUCGACGUAGGAUUUGUUCCGAUACGAACUACUGAUUAAGGCGAGU